CCUACGGGAGGCAGCAGUGAGGAAUAUUGGUCAAUGGGCGGAAGCCUGAACCAGCCAAGUCGCGUGAGGGAUUAAGGCCCUGCGGGUCGUAAACCUCUUUUGCCGGGGAGCAGUGGUCCGGACGCGUCCGGACCGGGAGAGUACCCGGAGAAAAAGCAUCGGCUAACUCCGUGCCAGCAGCCGCGGUAAUCCGGGGGAUGCGAGCGUUAUACGGAUUUAUUGGGUUAAAAGGGGGCGUAGGCGGGCAGUUAAGCCGGCGGUAAAAUGUCGGGGCGAAAACACGGACGGCCGUCGGAACGGGGUGGAUUGAGGGGGCGAGAAGUAUGCGGAAUGCGUGGUGUAGCGGUGAAAUGCAUAG
rnacentral:rRNA from 1 species